UACAGAGACUGCGAGCGUUAUUCGGAUUCACUGGGCGUAAAGGGUGCGCAGGCGGCCGAGUGUGUGAGGCGUGAAAGCCCGGGGCUUAACCCCGGAAUUGCACCUCAAACUACACGGCUAGAGCAUUGGAGAGGGUAGCGGAAUUCACGGUGUAGCAGUGAAAUGCGUAGAUAUCGUGAGGAGCACCAGAGGCGAAGGCGGCUACCUGGACAAUUGCUGACGCUCAGGCACGAAAGCGUGGGGAGCAAAAGGG
rnacentral:rRNA from 1 species